rnacentral:lncRNA from 1 species
AUUACACACCUGAAAGGCAUCACCCCACUUUGAGAUCUGUACUCCUCUCCUCUCCUCUUCUCUUUUUCCUCCUAAGUCUCCCUCACUCUCUCUCCUCCUCAAUCUCUGCAUCACAAAAUGGCCUCCAUCACUGCUGAUAGAGAAGACCAACCAUCCUCGAUGCCAGGGAAAGGAAAGANNNNNNNNNNCAUUGGGGCAGGUCGGUUGUGUGGCUGUCGUCCUGCUGGCGUUGCUGCUCCCCUCCCCUUCGCUGCUCGCCUGCCCCCUUCCUCCCGUCACGAGAUGCAGUUUGCACAAAGCCACCAUCUUAGAACAAGCGGGCAUUAAAUGGAAGUGGAAAAUAAGCAGGUAUGACCCACCAUCACUCUCCUGCGUCUCACACCCUCCUCUCUCUCGCCUCUUCUCGUUUACACAUAUUGUACUCUCUCGCUCCCCCUGCUCGAAGGCACUGUUCAUUACAGCAGAUGUGUUUGUUAAUUGUGAAUAUCACACGUCCUGGUUGUGAUAGGCGCUGAAGGGGGCGGGGAGAUGUUUUGUAGUCGUUUGCAUUAAAUCAUUCCCCGGCACAAUGGCUGAGGCAGAGCUGCAUCUGCGGGCAUCAAUGCUGAAUAGGUUGCCAUCAGGGAUUCUGCUGCCCAGACGUCAUACCAUGCCAGCCAUGGAGAUGGCGUGCUGCCAUUAUUGAGAAGAACAGCAAGACUUCCCUCCUGCUUUCAGCUGUGGUCGUCAUUAUAUUAGCUCUCCCAUGAGUUUGAAUGAGCAAAAUGGAUUGCUGUUUUUAGUCUUACAUAACUAUAAGCGAACAUCUCGGAUUAUUUAGCAUCUAUUUAAAGACAAACUAAUGGGAAAACAUGCUUAGAGAGAGCAAGAAUAGGAGCAGAGAGCAUGAUAGAGAGGUCUCAAUGAGGACGGGCUCCUUUUGUACGUCUUGGUUUCUAAGAGUUGUGGGCCAGACAAGUCCAGUAUUGUUCUCCGUGGCGAGCUUACUGUGCCACACUGUUAUUAAGCCCAGGAAGCUAUAAGUUUAAAAACCGCUUAACCAACACACCAAUUAGAGCCGGCUGUGCCUGAUUAAGUGAGGUAGCAAAGUAAACAAUACAGGCCAUUGUCCUUCAUUCUCUCAGAGGACUGCCUUUGUUUAAGUCCCAUCACUGAAAGUCCAGCCAAUACCCUGAGCGAGGAGAUACAGUGGAGGACUAGCGUAGGUCUAGGGCUCGGUAUCUCUGUUCAAGAGAAGAAGGUGCAUGUU